UUUCCGUAGGUGAACCUGCGGAAGGAUCAUUAUUGAAUGAAACACUUCUGGCUUUAUGCUGUUGUGCUGGCCCUUUGGGCAAUGUGCACACGGCUCUGGUCACUUGUUUCUUCUGUUCCACCUGUGCACUGCCUGUAGACACGCUGCGUCUAUGAUAUUUGUUAACACACAACAAUGUUAGUUGGCAUGUUAUAUAUAAUAAUAAAAUAUACAACUUUCAACAACGGAUCUCUUGGCUCUC
rnacentral:misc_RNA from 1 species